rnacentral:rRNA from 1 species
CAGGCCUAACACAUGCAAGUCGAACGGUCUAUAAGGGCUUGCCCUUAUAGGUAGUGGCGAACGGGUGCGUAACACGUGAGUAACCUGCCCCAUAGUUUGGAAUAACACCGGGAAACCGAUGCUAAUACCAAAUAUGCUCGCACUAGCACAAGCUAGAGCAAGGAAAGAUUUAUCGCUUUGGGAGGGGCUCGCGGCCUAUCAGCUUGUUGGUGAGGUAACGGCUCACCAAGGCUUCGACGGGUAGCUGGUCUGAGAGGACGAUCAGCCACACUGGGACUGAGACACGGCCCAGACUCCUACGGGAGGCAGUAGUGGGGAAUAUUGCGCAAUGGGCGAAAGCCUGACGCAGCAACGCCGCGUGGAGGAUGAAGGCUCUAGGGUCGUAAACUCCUUUCAGCAGGAAAGAAAAUGACGGUACCUGCAGAAGAAGCUCCGGCCAACUACGUGCCAGCAGCCGCGGUAAUACGUAGGGAGCAAGCGUUGUCCGGAUUUAUUGGGCGUAAAGAGCUCGUAGGCGGCUUAGAUAGUCGGAUGUUAAACCCCUAGGCUUAACCUAGGGUAGCCAUUCGAUACUACUAUGGCUAGAGUUCGGUAGGGGAUUGUGGAAUUCCCGGUGUAGCGGUGAAAUGCGCAGAUAUCGGGAGGAACACCAAUGGCGAAGGCAGCAAUCUGGGCCGAUACUGACGCUGAGGAGCGAAAGCGUGGGGAGCAAACAGGAUUAGAUACCCUGGUAGUCCACGCCCUAAACGUUGGGCACUAGGUGUGGGACCUACUUCGACGGGUUCCGCGCCGUAGCUAACGCAUUAAGUGCCCCGCCUGGGGAAGUACGGCCGCAAGGCUAAAACUCAAAGGAUUUGACGGGGGCCCGCACAAGCGGCGGAGCAUGUGGCUUAAUUCGAUGCACGCGGAAAACCUCACCUGGGCUGAACAUGUGGAAAGGCCGUAAAGAUCGGUGUCCUUUAUGGCCCUUCACAAGUGGUGCAUGCGUCGUCAGCUCGGUCUGGAGAAUGUUGAAUAGUCCGCACGAGACUACCAUGUCUAUGUGGCAGCGUAUGUCGACUCCAUAGAGACUGCCGGGUCCAACUCGAGUACGUGGACAGUCAAGCACAUUGCCUAGUCAUAGUGCACAGUUCAAUGACUGCUACGAAG